GACGAACGCUGGCGGCGUGCCUAAUACAUGCAAGUAGAACGCUGAAGGCGGAGCUUGCUUCUCUGGAUGAGUUGCGAACGGGUGAGUAACGCGUAGGUAACCUGCCUGGUAGCGGGGGAUAACUAUUGGAAACGAUAGCUAAUACCGCAUAAGAGUAGAUGUUGCAUGACAUUUGCUUAAAAGUUGCAAUUGCAUCACUACCAGAUGGACCUGCGUUGUAUUUGCUAGUUGGUGGGGUAUCGGCUUACUAUGGCGACGAUACAUAGCCGACCGGUGACGGGGGGCGGCCAGACUGGGACGGAGACACGGCCCAGAGGCCUACGGGAGGCAGCAGGAGGGAAUCGUCGGCAAUGGACGGAAGUCUUACCGAGAAACGCCGCGUGAGGGAAGAAGGAUGUCGGAUCGGAAAGCUCUGUUGUAAGGGAAGAACGAGUGUGAGAGUGGAAAGUUCACACUGUGACGGUAUCUGACCAGAAAGCGACGGCUAACUACGUG
rnacentral:rRNA from 1 species